ensembl:lncRNA
CCAUGUGGUUCUCUGAAUGAACUAUAACAUCAAGAGAGUUUCAGUCAAAAGUUGUUUUCCAUUUGGUUAGCACAGAGAAAGAAAAAAAACUUUGAAUGUGUCAUUAAGUUUUUGUUUAUGAAGGUAGUUUUAAAGCAGAUUAUUUGUUUGUUCUCUAUACAACUUCCAAAGUCAGAUAUAAUUUCUUCCUCUUAUAUGCCCGAGGAAGGAUGUUAGGAAUGAGGAGAGUUUCCAAGGCUCAGAUUCCAGGAUGACAUUGCUGGCGUGCUCCACACAGGACAAGACUAAUUCCAUGAUAUUUGCCUCUCUUGAAUAAAUGGUGACUCAUCUCUGAACCUCAAAUUUCAGUCUCAGCUACCUAGGAAUCAGCAACAAUCAGAGAAAAGGGAUGUAGGGCAGUUACAGUAAAAACAAACAUAAGAACAGAAAAUCAAAGGGCAGCAAAAAAACAACACUGCCAAAUAAAACCUCCCCUCCCCUGCCCUUCCUUCCUUUUCUUUCCCUUUCUCCUUCUUAGGGGAAAGAAGCAGUGGGGAAAAGAAAAAAGAAAAAGAAAGAAAGAAAGAAAGAAAGAAAGAAAGAAAGAAAGAAAGAAAGAAAGGAAGAAGAAAGAAAGAAAGGAAGAAAGGAAGAAAGGAAGAAAGGAAGAAAGGAAGAAAGGAAGAAAGGAAGAAAGAAAGAAAGAAAGAAUUAAAAAAAAGAAAGAAAAUAAAAAAAAAACACUUUCUUUCCAGAAGUCUUUAAACCAUUGCAGCUGCCUUCUGCAGUGGAGUGGGAGAUUGCUGUGCAAGAGAGGACUCCAAAAACCAAGGAUAAAACAGUUCUCAAGAGAACAGAUCAUCUGACAAAGAGGAGCCUACUAACAAGGCCUUCUUGCUUCAGCAUCAAGAGGCAUCGUGCUCACAGACUUUCAUCUUGAUGGGAGAUUUCAACCGCAUGGAUGUAAGCUGGGAAAACAACAUGGAAGGUUGAAAAUAUUCCAAGAGACUGCUGAAGAUAACUACCUGGUCCAGGUAUACCGGUCCGAAGAGACAAGCAAACUGGCUUCAACAGACACGGAGAAGGAUGACGUACUGAAGAAGUUCUUUUCCUUGAUCUUCUCUGCUAGUUAGGCUUAUCAUGUCUCUUAUGUCCCUGAAACUCAAGGCACCUGUCCGGAAAGAGAAUAACAACAUAUCCCAGAAGACUGCGUUCAGAGAGGAGAUAUAACCCCUGGCAGGGUCACCUGACUUCUCUUUUUUCCUUCAGCUCUCCUCCCUGCUGCUCGACCUGACUGCACAUCUCGCCUCAGCGUUGUGAAGGUGUGGAUCUGUGGAUCCACAUUAGGAAGAAGUGAUGCCUGCAGAGAGACAUGGAUGGACUAGAGAAGUGGGCUGACAUGACCCCAGUGCGAUUUGGCAAGGCUAUGUGCAAGGUGUUACUUGUGUCACAUAUAUUCCUAUUAUGCAUGGGAGAAGAACUCAUUGAGAGCAGACCUGCUGAGAAGAACUUUGGAGUCCUGGUGGACAAAUAAUCCAGGCAUGAGCCGUUAGUGUGCACUUGCAUCUCAGAAGACAAACUGAAUCCUAAGCUGUAUCAAAUCAGGUGUGGUUAACAGUGCCAGGGAGGUGAUUGUCCUCUCUACUCUGCUCUUGUGAGCAUCUGGAGUACUGUAUCCAUGUCUGGGGCCCUAUCAGUGCAAUCACUGUGUGCAUUAUUUAUAAGUCUGACAUUGGUCUAAGCUGUGUAAAUGAGCACUGGUUAAUGCAGAGGAAAUGUAAAAAGUAUUCAAACUUUUAAACAUAGGGAAAUCAUAUUCAUUUAACAGGGAACAGCAAAGCUGGCUGUUUUAUUUUUCCUUUGUGUAUAAGAAACAUACACCAUUUUGCUUGACAUUCAGUAUGAAUAUGCAAAGGCUUUUGAUACAUCUGUUGUUAAUAUGCAAGAUAAUGAAUGUGCUUAAAAUUCUGCUCUUCUUGUCUGCUGAUUAAAUGAAAUAAGCAGAACAGUCCACCAUAUCUAUAUGCUUUAGAGGACCAAUGUUUGCAACAAAGUAGUAACUGUUCACAUUACGUUCUGUUUUAUUACUAUUUUCUGAUGGAAAACUGUUUUUUCAUGAAGCUCCAAAUUUUUCAAUGAAAAUAUCCACCACAAAAAGAAAAACAAAAACACUUAAUCUGUUAACCCUUCUUACUGCAUUUCAAAUGAAUAAUAUUACUGAAGACUGAAGGAGAUGUCUAAUAUUUUACAUUGCUUUCUGGAAAUAGUGGUGGUUCCUGUUUCCACAUGUUCUCCAGUUAUUGUGGAGAGGGAAUUCAUGCUUGGGUAAACACCAUGGCCAAGACACUACUGUUCCUCUCCUCACUUCUCUAAAAGGGUAAAAUAAUUAAACUUAUUAUUUCAUAAGGCAGUUUGGCAUAUAAUUUUGAUAUAAUCAUAUGGAACUCAAAUGACGUAAAGUUACACACAGUACAAAAAAUAUUGAGAUAGAAGCAUUUUCAAAAAUCUGACCAAUUCCAUUGUUUGUCUAAAAUUAAAUCUUAAAUCUUUAUGAAGAUGAAUCUAUAUUACAAUGAGUUACUGCAUUUUUUUUUCAUUAAAAUAUUGAGGGAUUCUAAUCCAUUAAUCCCGAUGUUAAUUAAAAAAAAUCGUUGUCAAAAUGAUAGACUGUUAUUAUUAUUAUCUUUUUUUUAUAUUCUUUUUCUUUUCAAUUAUAUCUACUCCUUAGAGAAGACACAACCCAGGUGAAUUAAUUUUUUCUCUCAAGAAAAUAGCGAGGACUGAGUUUGCCGAAGAGCUUCUAUAAAAGUGGAAAAAGACAAGCUCUCAUCUAAUAAUGUUCCUAUUAAUACACUUUUCUGUGUGUGCUUUUGCUUUGAACAUAUAACAGUAAUGAAAAAAUACAGUGGUAGACACUUGAUAUUUGUCUAUUUAUAUUUAUUUAUUAAUAUAUUAAUAUAUUAAACAAUAUUUAUAUUGUUUAAAAGGCAGCUAAUUUUGGAAUAAAUAAAUAAAUAAAUAAAUAAAUAAAUAAUCCCACAACACUCCAGAGUUCAGUAAAGAUGAAAGAUACCCCAUGAGAUUUAAGACACAAUUUGGUUGUGCAUUUUCAACCCAUAUGAGUAAGUAGGAAGGGAUGGCAAUGACAAACUUGCCACUAACACCACAUAAUGGUGCAAUGGGUCACUCUAGUCUGGUGAUGUAUGCUGUUGUACGAAAAAAAGAUUUUUCUAUAUCCACAUGAGUUAUUUAAAUUGCUCUUCCAUGUCAGAACACUGAGCCUACCACAGCGGUGGCCAGCAUAAUAUGGGAUAGGAUAUGAGGUCCCCAAGUUGUGGUGCUCCAGAGCCAUGGGGUGGAUUUUCUGCUAAUAUUAAGAAAGUGACACCCUAGCUACUUGAUCUGCUGUCUAAAUCAGUUCUCCAUCUACAAUAUUAACAGUACCAUACAUUGUAUGGUUAGAUUAAAUAAAGACUGAAAGCUCUUAAAUACAGAGUAUCAGAAUGCAUUAAAAUAGUUAUGCAUCAAAAUUAAAACAAGACAGUUUUAAAAUAUCUAUUGUGGACCGAAGAUCAGCUACAAAAGAAUGUGGUUCUGGAAGAAUGUUCUUUAUUUCUGGCAGCCCUAUGAAACUAGCAGUAGGACUGCUGGCACUGUCUUCUAGGUCUUGGGGGAUGCUUUUAAUCCAACAAGGCACUGCUAUUAUUAGGAAGGCUGCAGUGUAACUACACCAUCAUUGCAUUCUGUCAGUUUAGUUUUGCAUGAACCAUUUGGUUCAUGACGCUCUAAAUUUAAUACUGUGCUACAGAUAAACUAGAAACAGAAUAAAUAUUGUAAGAACAAAGCUGUCACAGAAACACACUCUGAGUGUUUCGACCCCAUUCAAAGGCCCUUCACUAUAAUUGUCUCUGACAGAAGGCCCCUGUACAGUGAGUACUUUAGUUGCCAAUGACCUUAAACACGAUUAUCAUUAGCCUUCUUGUAAUACUCUCUCUUCCUUGAACUCAAAUUACUGUGCUUCUCAGAUGGAUUUAUAAAGGCAGUUCAAUACUGUAGUUAGAAUAAUCCGAGCUGUUUGAAUCAAUGCUGUGUCCUUUGUAAAUAAAGCUGUUCUGAAAUGCAUGCUGUAAUAAUUAUAUCCAUAAUUUGUUACAGUUAUUGUAAUAAAUUUGACUAUAAUAAUUUGAAUUAUUGUUGCAAAGAAGCCACAAGGAUUACUUGAUUACUUAAUCAAGUAAUAAUUUAUGCUGAUAAAUAUAUCAGGGCCAUUCCUAAAGUUAGGGUUUGUUUAAGCCAAACAUUUAAAUAAUUAAACAGUUGUUCAGAGACAAUAAAGCUACUUUGACUUGAAAACAAAACUCACUUACCAUUUGUAAACGUGUAUAAACUUAAAAAAAAAAAAAAAGAGCAAAAGAAAAAUAUGUUUGUUUUUUUUUCCUUCACUCAUUGUUCCCAAACCUGACAGCCUGCCAAAGGCAGAGAAAAAAGCCCUUGACCAGACACCCUGAAAAGGUUCAGACAUUCUUUACUACAGAUCCCAUUAUUGAUGAUUUUAAUGGAGAUUGGAUGUGGUUUUGUUUUGUAUUGCUUCGUUUUCAUACCUAAAAUUUAACUUCUAAUUCAGAUAGAAGCCAGGGAAAGUCAGUAGUCCUUGUUAAUUACAGUUGUGACGGUAACCUGUAAUACUUAAUUUUUAGUUUUUCUUGUAACCAUUAUUCGUUUGCCUGUAUCAGAAAACAGGUGGGGCACCCAAUGUUUGAAAAAAUAAUAGCUGGUGAUGUAAUUUCAAUUUAGGCAUCUGAAAACCGAAUUUUCAAACUGCAUUUUAUUUUCUCUCUAUAUUAACUUACUGAUAAUUUAAUGGAAUGUAUGUUGGAUUUUUUUCUUUUUUUUUUUUUUUUUUAUUUAGCCAGAUACUAUUCUCAGCACUACAAAAUCACAAAGAUCAAAAUCUGUAUCAGCAGCAUGCAUACUCUGUGGGUUCACCAAGGCAUCACAACAUCAUUUAUUGUCUUAUUUUUCUCCUUUACCUUUUAUUUUCCUUCCUAAAUUUCAAAACAAAUAUAGAUAAAGUAAUUCCAG